rnacentral:rRNA from 1 species
UACGGAGGAUCCGAGCGUUAUCCGGGAUUUAUUGGGUUUAAAGGGUGCGUAGGCGGACUUAUAAGUCAGCGGUGAAAGUUUGCAGCUUAACUGUAAAAUUGCCGUUGAAACUGUUAGUCUUGAGUGUAAAUGAGGUAGGCGGAAUGUGUUGUGUAGCGGUGAAAUGCUUAGAUAUAACACAGAACACCAAUUGCGAAGGCAGCUUACUGGGAUACAACUGACGCUGAGGCACGAAAGCGUGGGGAUCAAACAGGAUUAGAUACCCUGGUAGUCCACGCAGUAAACGAUGAAUACUAACUGUAUGCGAUAUACUGUAUGCGGUACAGCGAAAGCGUUAAGUAUUCCACCUGGGGAGUACGUUCGCAAGAAUGAAACUCAAAGGAAUUGACGGGGGCCCGCACAAGCGGAGGAACAUGUGGUUUAAUUCGAUGAUACGCGAGGAACCUUACCCGGGCUUGAAAUGCAGACGACCGACCAGGAAACUGGUCUUCCAGCAAUGGCGUCUGUGUAGGUGCUGCAUGGUUGUCGUCAGCUCGUGCCGUGAGGUGUCGGCUUAAGUGCCAUAACGAGCGCAACCCUUAUCGUUAGUUGCCAGCAAGUAAAGUUGGGGACUCUAGCGAGACUGCCGGUGUAAACCGUGAGGAAGGUGGGGAUGACGUCAAAUCAGCACGGCCCUUAUAUCCAGGGCUACACGCGUGUUACAAUGGUCGGUACAAAGAGCAGCCACUUGGUGACAAGGCGCUAAUCUCGAAAGCCGAUCUCAGUUCGGAUCGAAGUCUGCAACUCGACUUCGUGAAGUUGGAUUCGCUAGUAAUCGCGCAUCAGCCAUGGCGCGGUGAAUACGUUCCCGGGCCUUGUACACACCGCCCGU